UACGUAGGGUGCAAGCGUUGUCCGGAAUUAUUGGGCGUAAAGAGCUCGUAGGCGGUUUGUCGCGUCUGCUGUGAAAACCGGAGGCUCAACCUCCGGCCUGCAGUGGGUACGGGCAGACUAGAGUGCGGUAGGGGAGAUUGGAAUUCCUGGUGUAGCGGUGGAAUGCGCAGAUAUCAGGAGGAACACCGAUGGCGAAGGCAGAUCUCUGGGCCGAUACUGACGCUGAGGAGCGAAAGCGUGGGGAGCGAACAGG
rnacentral:rRNA from 1 species